rnacentral:rRNA from 1 species
CCUACGGGAGGCAGCAGUAGGGAAUCUUCCACAAUGGGCGAAAGCCUGAUGGAGCAACGCCGCGUGGGUGAAGAAGGUCUUCGGAUCGUAAAACCCUGUUGUUAGAGAAGAAAGUGCGUGAGAGUAACUGUUCACGUUUCGACGGUAUCUAACCAGAAAGCCACGGCUAACUACGUGCCAGCAGCCGCGGUAAUACGUAGGUGGCAAGCGUUAUCCGGAUUUAUUGGGCGUAAAGGGAACGCAGGCGGUCUUUUAAGUCUGAUGUGAAAGCCUUCGGCUUAACCGGAGUAGUGCAUUGGAAACUGGGAGACUUGAGUGCAGAAGAGGAGAGUGGAACUCCAUGUGUAGCGGUGAAAUGCGUAGAUAUAUGGAAGAACACCAGUGGCGAAAGCGGCUCUCUGGACUGUAACUGACACUGAGGCACGAAAGCGUGGGGAGCAAACAGGAUUAGAUACCCGUGUAGUC